CGACCGCGAACCAAGAAUUU
rnacentral:miRNA from 1 species